rnacentral:rRNA from 1 species
GCUGAAACUCGCCUACAUGAAGCUGGAGUUACUAGUAAUCGCAGAUCAGAAUGCUGCGGUGAAUGCGUUCCCGGGUCUUGUACACACCGCCCGUCACACCACGGGAGUUGGAGACGCCCGAAGCCGAUUAUCUAACCUUUUGGAAGAAGUCGUCGAAGGUGGAAUCAAUAACUGGGGUGAAGUCGUAACAAGGUAGCCGUAUCGGAAGGUGCGGCUGGAUCACCUCCUUUCUAAGGAGA